GACGAACGCUGGCGGCGUGCUUAACACAUGCAAGUCGAACGGAAAGGCCCUGCUUUUGUGGGGUGCUCGAGUGGCGAACGGGUGAGUAACACGUGAGUAACCUGCCCUUGACUUUGGGUUAACUUCAGGAAACUGGGUCUAAUACCGGAUCGGAGCUCCUGCGGCAUGGUGGGGAUGGCAACGUUCGGUGGGUGGGGAUGGAGUCGGGGCUUAUAGGUGUUGUGGUGGGGGAGUGGCAUACCAAGGCUUUGAAGGGGUGCCGGCCUGAGAGGUUGGACGGCCACAAUGGGACUGCGAGACGGCGCAGACUGCUACGGUAGGCAGUAGUGGGGAAUAUUGUACAGUGGGCGGAAGCCUGGUGCAGCGGCGUCGCGGGUGGGAUGACGGCCUUCGGGUUGUGAACCGCUUUCGCCUGAGACGAAGCGUGAGUGACGGUAAUGGAUGAAGAAGCACCGGCUAACUACGUG
rnacentral:rRNA from 1 species